GUUGAUUAUGAGGUGUUUCUUUGUCGAAGAAAACGCCUAGAAAGUCAAAUUUCUGGAUCGGUGGUCGGUAAAAAAUAGGGUCAGCAGAUAGCAAAUGACCAUGAGUGACGGUUAUGGGGUAAUCUGAGUGAAUUCCAACCAAUCACCUUAAAGAGGUGAACACAUGCUCCAGCCAUUUGUCGGGUGUUACAGGAAGACAAAAUGGUGGACCAGGCCCACUUGUCGUAUGGCUUGGGAUUCACAGAGCGAAUGGAAAGUCCCGUUUCCAUGGUGAAGGACUUCCCGAUGAACACACUGAUGUCCCGUACAGAGUCUGAAGUGGACCUGUCCUGUCUUAUGUCAGACAAAAUCGCCGACAUCACCAGGGCUAUCAGUGAUAGCAACUGUAGUUAUAAAGAUGCAGAGGAUGGUUCGAUCGUGCAUGUGACCUUGGCCACACCCGCUGGACGACGCAGCAGGAGGGGUCACGGUGGUGGCACUAUCACACAAAGUAAAGACGAGAUCUUAGCCUACACCACAAUUGACAACACAGUUUACAAG